rnacentral:rRNA from 1 species
AUUGAACGCUGGCGGCAGGCCUAACACAUGCAAGUCGAGCGGAUGAGAAGAGCUUGCUCUUCGAUUCAGCGGCGGACGGGUGAGUAAUGCCUAGGAAUCUGCCUGGUAGUGGGGGACAACGUUUCGAAAGGAACGCUAAUACCGCAUACGUCCUACGGGAGAAAGCAGGGGACCUUCGGGCCUUGCGCUAUCAGAUGAGCCUAGGUCGGAUUAGCUAGUUGGUGAGGUAAUGGCUCACCAAGGCUACGAUCCGUAACUGGUCUGAGAGGAUGAUCAGUCACACUGGGACUGAGACACGGUCCACGACUCCUACGGGAGGCAGCAGUGGGGAAUAUUGGACAAUGGGCGAAAGCCUGAUCCAGCCAUGCCGCGUGUGUGAAGAAGGUCUUCGGAUUGUAAAGCACUUUAAGUUGGGAGGAAGGGCAGUAAGCUAAUACCUUGCUGUUUUGACGUUACCGACAGAAUAAGCACCGGCUAACUCUGUG